rnacentral:miRNA from 1 species
AGGAGGGAAGGGGCUGAGAACAGGA